UUCUUGUUCGACAGCAGUAAACAGUUGUAACUCUCCCCUUAUUUGUGCUUCUGGUUUAUGUGAAUGUGAAACAAAUCUUUACUACAAUGCAGAUUAUAAUACCUGCAGCACACUUGGAAGAUAUAAUGAAACUUGUUCGACAGCAGUAAACAGUUGUUACUCUCCCUUUAUUUGUGUUUCUGGUUUAUGUGAGUGUGAAACAACGCAUUACUACAUUGCAGAUUUUAAUACCUGCAAACCACUUGGAACGCACAGAGACCCUUGUUCGACAGCAGUAAGAAGUUGUACCACUCCUCUCAUCUGUAAUUCUGGUAUAUGUGAUUGUGAAACUACCCAAUACUACAACGAAAAUGAUAAUACC